CUCAGGGUUGUCAGGUUCUUCUUCCUUUUCAGGAUCUUCCUCCUCUUCCUCUUUCUUUUCUUCCUCUUCUUCAUCUUCUUCAGGGGGAUCAUAUGGCAUUGGUGGUGGUAAUGGUGUUUUCAUAGGGCUGAAUUGAGGGAAUAUGUCAGGUCUACGUCCAGGUUUAGGCCUCUCCCACUCCUGCCAUGUGAACCAAGGUGCUCAUGUUUAAUCAAACUGUCUUGAAAAAACAAGUUUCCAAACAAAAAAAACCAAUAUUGAUUAUCUAGACGGUACCCAUCAACCAAACAAAACUACCCCAAUAGAAUAUUACUGCAUAAAAUUAAACCCAUCUCAUAAAAAUCCUGCUGAGGCUUAUUCUUCUUUCACAAAGCUAAAAACAAAUAUCAUAUCACUAAUUUGGAAUUUCCCUGUCCUGUUAACAAGGCAAUUAAAACUACUUAUAGCUGAAUAAACAGAGCAUGAACUUACAAUGGGAAAAUCAAGGGGAUUGCGGCGAGUCAAUUUUUCUUCGUCGGGAGCCAUACAAACCACCUGCAGCCUCUUUCUCGUCGUCAGUUGAUGGGAUUUAGAAAUGGAGACGACGAGGGAGCAUCUGCAACGGCAUAUACUGGAAGUCGAUGAACCCGGCGCUAGGGUUUUGGAAGGCGGCAAUAACGAUAGGCAAAUGGAUGAUGCCAUGGUUGGCUUCAUGGUAGGAACAGUUUCCCCAGAAACAAACAAAAAUAAAAGAAGCACCAAGUUAACCGCCUUAUCUUCGAGUCGUGUUCAUCUCGGCUAGGACGGCCUGCACUCAACCCCUAAAUACCCAAUGGCCACAAUUCUAUCAUCUGUAGGCUCAGCAUCUCUAUCAACGUUUAUGGGUCUAUGUUAUCUAAUGGGUGGUCCAAUCCACUUGUUGAUUUAGUGCCAUUUUAGAUUCACCUUUCGUCCCAAAUGAAGCUUAAAUUGGACUCAGAAUUGACCCCAAAAAUGGGCUCAGAAUGUUAGACUAGUUUUAACCAAAUUCAACUUUUAGUUUUUAGAGCUAUAAUUAUAUAUUAUUUAUUUAUUAGUUUUGAAUAUUAAUUAAAAGCAUAUGAUAGUUUCAUAACUUCCCCUACAGAAUUAAAAUAAUUCACUAAACUUCAUAAUAAGAGGAAAUGUAUGAAAAUGUCAACAUUGGCUAUUAUGAAUACUAACCACUUAUAGUUUUUUUUUUCUUUCAUAUUGAUUUUACUAUCAAUGUUUGAGUUUUAUAAUUAUUUUUCCUAAUAAUGUCAUCUUCAAAGUUUGAAUUCAUAUCUCCCUUUGAGUAUGUAAUGUGUUUUAUCAUUAUAUUCAACACUUAUUAAUAUCACAAAUCAUGUUAUCUACCAUUUGCAAUAGGACAUGUUAAGCCCAUUAAACUCCUAUAUGAUAUAGGAAAAGGGUUUAAAUCCCAUCAAGUACAAAUUUUGAAUUUGUAGCAAGUGAAUGCGAUCUCACUCCAUAAACCUAAUGAAGCUAUGUGCGAAAGUGAAAAAUAGAAUCUAAUAAUAAAACCGAGUAUAGACACUUCGAACCUAAUUUUAGACCUAUUGAAGAGAUUUAUCAUCUUUUGGCAAAUAACAAUUUAAAGAUUUCUCCUAAUAAGUCAAAACACCCUUAAAAAGAGCUAAACUAAUGUCCGGUAAAUUUAUGAUGAAACAAAAACAAAUUAUUAAAAUAAAUUGAAGUUUAAUCUCUAAUCUAAUGCAUACUUCAACUUUUAAAAUUUCUUUUAAAUGAAAAGUAGUUCGGGCAAGUUAUGAAACUUUAGACUAUUUUUGGUGUUACAUGUGUGCAUAACUUGAAUCAUUGUUGGGUUAUUUAUAUCAGAUCUUAUUUAUCGAAGACAUUGAGUGUCAUUUAUUUGUCAGGGUUUGAUUGGUAUAACUCUAAAAAUAAAAAUAUAUUUUAAUAAAAACAAAAUAUUUUUUGUAAUAAAAUAAAAUCUAUUUAAUAAUAAAAUAAAAUCUAUUUAAUCUUUAGAAAAUUCAAUAACAUUCAUUUGUUUCAUUCAUCAUUAACGAGCUCGAAACCUUUUACAUAAUUAAACUCCAAAUAAUAUAUUCCAUCAAGAAAAAAAAAAUUAACCAUACAAUUGAACUCCACAUAAAAAUUCUUUAAAGUUUGAAAAAAAAAAAAGAGAAUAAUUUUCUUUUAAAGGUAAAUGCUACUAUAUUAUAAUUCAAUUAGCCCGUUGGAUUGGGGUUGUGUAAGAUUAAAAAGAAAAAAGAAAUGAUUAAUAAUAGCAGCAAACUUUAGUCAUAGCCAUGAUGAUUUGGUAAUAACUAAUAUCCAUGAACAGGAAUGGAAAUAAUAUAUCUCUGUUUGAAUAAAAAAACUACUAAAUUUCUAACUUCUUUUUGCAAUGUCAGAUGCAUUAUUGGAAUGCCAAAGAAGAAAAAGAAACAAAACCAUUAAGCUUUGUUUUCUGCUGUAAACAGCUUUUUCAAGAACACCACAACACAGUCAACAAACAAAUGAACCCAGGAGAACCUGUCAACAAACAAAUGAACCCAAGAGAACCUUUCUGCUAAAUAAAAAAACCAAUGAGAAAGUAGGAAUUUUAGUUACCAAUGGUCGUUAGAAUUUUGAAAACAUUUGAGAAAACGGUACAAAAAGCUUAAAAUAAAGGUUCCCUGGCUAGUUUUGAGCUUUGACAGAAACCCUAGUCACCAUGAAGGAGAAGUGCAUGGAGAACUUGAUGAGGAUGAUGAAAGACCAUUAUUACACUAUUAGAAUCACUGCCCGAAGUGACUAAAGACUUAGCAUCUCUAAGAGAAACAGGACAAGCCUGAGCUGGAAGAUUCUUCAUUGGAAUCGAAGGAGAUGUCAUCCAAGGCUCAGCCUUCUCAUCAUCCCCUGAAGAACGGUUGUUUCCUAGACCUCUCGAACGGAGCAUCUGCCAUGCUGCAGCCAACAUCAUUGCUGUAAUUAGGAUUCGAUAUGUAAGCAAAAUUAUCCACACCAUGACCAGGAAUAGUACCGUUAGCUUUUCUUUACAAUUAGUAGUAGUUCCAGUGCCAACUCGAGUUGAGGUUUCUUGAAGAGGGUUAGGGGAAGUCGCAAAGGACGUUGAUGGAGAUACCAGAGGUAAGAUACCAAAUUGAUGAGGGGGCUUGUGUUUGGUUCUUGGGCAAGGAUUUCAAAAACUUGAGGAUGUAAAGGGAGAACAGCAGGAAAAAGGAAGUUCCUUGGUGCAUGAAUAACUCCUUGUGCAUAGAAGCUACUAAGGGGACUGGUUGAUUGAGUUUGGUUAUCAAGUGGAGGAAAGGAAGAAGCAGUAUUUGUAGGGGUGGGGGCAGCAGUUGCAGUGUUGGUAAUGAUAGGGAUGGCAGCAGAGUGUAUACGCUGACGCCGCCAGCGGAGUAAGACAAAAGCAAUAGAGCUUAGCUAGCAGUACUACGAUUAAAGCUAAUACAAUGGCCAGGCUAACCACCAUUAUCAGUGUUGCACACAUUACCUAGGAUGCCCCCUUCAUUGUUUUACUUUCUCUUAGCUCUUUUCCUUUAACUUCUUUGGAGAGGACCGACAGAGUGGGAAAGCUUCCUUUUUUGGCGGCAACAGUAGGUGGUGAAUCUCGUGAGAAUGCGUAAGCAACUCUUUGGUUCUUCAAUGGUUGGCUGCUUUCUGUAUUGUCUUUUCUAUCUGGAAUUCAAGUUCAUAGAGGUCAUUUAGUAACCGCAGCUAUAGCUUGAUACAUAGAGCAAGGUACAACCCACAAAAGUAUCAUGGCCAAUACGCCCAAUUCAGAAUUUUUCCUGCUCAGUUCUCAGUCAUUUGUUCUGAGUGACAACAUCUCAAUCUCAAUCUUAAAGCAUAACUGCAGAUUUGCAUGAGGACAUCCAUUUGACAUCAACUCUCGCAGGCAUGGGAUUCGCAGAAACAAAAUGAUUUUCUCGAGCUGAAGGAUGAAUCACGGGAAUCAUGCCCCCAAAAGGAGUUGUUGAGUAUUAUUAUUCCGCUUGUUUUGCUGGGCGUGCAAACGAGUGCAACUGACAGACCUACCAAAAGUUAUGUCUUCACUUACUACUGAUUUUACAUUUCUAUAAGAACCAAAAUUCAUCUAUAUCCAUAAUGGUGCUGUCAAGAAUUAUGUUUUUUUCCUCCCAAAUUUCAAGAUAAUUAUGUACUUUGAUAUUCACACUGUACAGGAAAAUCGUAUCAUGUGGUAUUUCUUCAAUGUGCCUUAUGAGAGAUGAUGAAGUUGAAUGCUGCUAAGUUUAUCCUUGAUGUGUUUAUCAAUUCCAAAUAUAGAAAUGGCAUUUUAAUUGUAUAACUCUAUAUGAAGCCUCAGAUGUCUGAUCAAAUGCUUAAUGAAAAAACCAGUCUAGCGAUUUGCAUAACUGGAAUCCUAUGAUUCACAUUAUAGAUGCAUGAGAAGCAGUUUUAAAGUCAGAAUCCGAAUAAACACCAUUUCUUGUAUAUCUCAUUGAAUUUCAUCCAUGAACUCUUAACCCUUUCGUUGUAUUAUUGCACUCAAAUUUUCAAACUUAGAAUUUGACAAUAUUGAAUUUCAUGUUAUCAAUAAAUUCUAGUCCCGCAAACAAAUGAACAAGAACAUAACAACUAAGAACAAGGUAUUCGAAAGCAACUAGUAUAAUCAUGUAAGAAAGACUUACGGAUUACAACACUCUAAAACAGGAACUUGGACCUAAGUUUCUCUAUAUUAACCUAACAAGACAAUAAAAUCCCAAGAAGAUGCCUGCAAAAUCCCCUCAACUCAAAUAUGGUUAUACCACUCAACUCCAUGUUCUAAAAUGGCUGACUGUGACAUCUUAUCUACUCCAUCUAUUAUAAGGACAUAAGCAAAGUGGUAAACACCAUUGAAUAUUAAAAACAGCAAAAUUGAAGUAGCAGCAAUAAUACUAACUAUUGUUUCUCAGGGUUGUCAGGUACUUCUUCCUUUUCAGGAUCUUCCUCCUCUUCCUCUUUCUUUUCUUCCUCUUCUUCAUCUUCUUCAGGGGGAUCAUAUGGCAUUGGUGGUGGUAAUGGUGUUUUCAUAGGGCUGAAUUGAGGGAAUAUGUCAGGUCUGCGUCCAGGCUUAGGCCUCUCCC
rnacentral:lncRNA from 1 species